rnacentral:rRNA from 1 species
UACGUAGGGGGCGAGCGUUGUCCGGAUUUAUUGGGCGUAAGGAGCGUGUAGGCGGCCACUUAAGUCUGCUGUGAAAGUCCAGGGCUCAACCCUGGGAUGUCAGUGGAUACUGGGUGGCUCGAGUCCGGAAGAGGAGUGUGGAAUUCCUGGUGUAGCGGUGAAAUGCGCAGAUAUCAGGAGGAACACCAAUGGCGAAGGCAGCACUCUGGGACGUGACUGACGCUGAGACGCGAAAGCGUGGGGAGCAAACAGG